CUGGAAGAUGACGAGUGGCGGACGGGUGCGUAACGCGUAUGCAACUUACCUCUAACCAGGGCAUAGCCCCGUGAAAACGGGAUUAAUACCCUAUAGUACCUCGAGACGACAUCGUUUCUUGGUUAAAGUUUUUAACGGUUAGAGAUGGGCAUGCGUCCCAUUAGGUAGUUGGUGAGGUAACGGCUCACCAAGCCUGCGAUGGGUAGGGGGCCUGAGAGGGUUAUCCCCCACACUGGUACUGAGACACGGACCAG
rnacentral:rRNA from 1 species